rnacentral:lncRNA from 1 species
CCAACAGUGACAUCACAUUCUGACCGCCAGGGAACACUGGUAGUUCUUUAGGUGGCGUUUGUUGCUGUGAAAGGCAGAGAAUGCAGCAAGUGCCCUUCUAAAGCACUUCAGACUGGGGCUUCUUUUGUAAAAGCUCCCCAACCUGAAUGACCAAAUGCGGGCUGCCAAGGUUAUUUCUUCCUUGAGGCAGAAAAAAAGAAAACUGUGAUUGAAGAGGACAAGUCGUACAAUGGUGGAGGAAUAGGUUCUUCAAAUAGGAUCAUGGACUUCUUGGAGGAGCCAAUCCCUGGUGUAGGGACCUAUGAUGAUUUCAAUACAAUUGAUUGGGUGAGAGAGAAGUCUCGAGACCGGGAU